GGCUUUUUCUGACACAGGGAGGGUUGAUGAAGGAAUGGAAUUUACCCAGCAGGCCAUAGACAAAGACCCCCACUUCCUUAUAGCUCACCUGAAAAAAGCCAAGAUGUACAUUCAGAAGAAUGAAGAUAAAAAAGCAGAUGAAAAACUGAAGGUUUGUUUGGAGAUGAAUCCCAAAUUGUGGGACGUACAUGCUAUAAAUGGAGACUUCCUUAUGAGAUAACAGAGGUUUAAAGAGGCAGCACAAAUGUUUAGAAAGGGAACACAGGUAAAGCCAGACAUGAUUCCAUUCUGGGCAAAUCUGAGAAACGCCCUGCAACAAAGCGGUGACAACAAAGGGGUAAGGGAGACAAAUCUGGUUAUAGAAAGGCUUCAACGUGAACAGCAGGACAGACAGUGAUAAAUAAUAUGCUAAUUUAUACAAGUCACAAGUUCAAAGUCCUUAUGUCUUCUUUGUGAAGCAUAUCAUGAAAUUGU